rnacentral:ribozyme from 1 species
UCACACACACACACGCAAGCAGAAAAAAGGAAAAAAAAAACAGAAAAGCAAAAUAGGAGAAG